CAAAAGUGGUCUCUUAUAUAUGAGUGUCUUUGCAAUUCUUUCUCAUUUGGUAUUUGUUUUUGUAGGGGGUCAAUUUAUGCCAUUAUAUAGUUUCUUUAUUUACAUGUUUUCUUUUUAAUUUGGUUCCCCGUUUUUUUUAUCAAUCAUCUUUGGAUUGAUGUUACUGACAUCUCUGGUAGAAGCACCGCCUCAAAUGCUUGGAUACCUUUAUUCCUCUUUCGUCUUCCCCUUUUUGCAACAGUCUCAAAAAACCCCAUCGAUCAACAAACUCCUUCCAGAAUUGUUUCCAAAAUUGAACGACGAUUUCUCAUUGCCUGGUACAACCGACCGGCUAUAGAGAGCAUCAACGGUCCACCAGGCUAUGUACGUUCGUUUCUGUAUGUGUGUGUGUUGAAUCGAUGACAAUAGUACAAGGAAUUAGGAUGUCGAAGGUGUAGAGUCAGAGAAGAACCCAACACUGGUCACUUACAUAUUUGGACUGAUCGGAUACCACUGAUCGAAAUUGUGUCUGCAAUGACUUCUAGCCCUAAAAAUCACCAUUCACGCCUUUAGAGGGAAACAUCAACACCUCAACUGCUUCUCAACGUCCCUCUCACCGACUCUGCUUUUUUUUUUUUUCGUUCCUUUCCCUUCACCGCUUCCUUACCAUUAUGAACACCCGAUCUGCUGCUUCUCCACCGAUGUCUGCUCAGAUAUGCAUCUCCACCGAUCUUUCAACAGUUGUUGUCGAUUGUUUUUGAAGUUUUCCUGAUGACGGAUGUGCCACCGACUACUUCCACUUUCCCCUUCUCGCGACAAUCCAAUGGAGAAAAAAGCCAUGAGUCUUGCAAGAAAGGCGGCGGACCGACUAAUUUUUUUCCCUAGUGGCGACCGUCCCCAUCUCCAUCUCCGGCCGUCUCCACCGCAAGUAUGUCUUUUGUUUUUUGUUUUCUGCUGACAUCUUUGCUUAUUGCUAAUGUAUUGAAUGCAAUAAGCAUUCAAAUGGGAAACCAUUCAUCUCCGAUUUCACGUUUCGUUUUCAAUUUCACAAAAAAAUUGUUUCAAUUUCACCAGUUGAAUUGCGUUUGGGUGUUUAAAGUUGUUAGACGUUGGCUUCAGUCCCAGGUAAACACUAAACUAGGGUUAGUUCGAUGCCCAAGAUGCCAGAAAGCUCUUUUGGAUCCACCAGAAGUUUUGGUCUAUGGAUGUGGAGGUUGUAAUUCAAUUCUUAUAGGUUAGUAGGAUUUAUGUGGUUGUGUAUUUUGCUAAUUUGUGAUGCUCUCUGGAUUUUGUUUUUUAAUAUAUAUAUAUAUAUAUAUAUAUAUAUAUAUAUAUUGUAAUGUUAUGUAAAAAUGCAAUGAAGGAGAAAAAUGAUACACUUGAUACAGAUGUAAAUGUUGGAGAUUUCUCAUUUUUCAAGAAAUUCAUUAUACGAUUGUUUAUGUUGAUGGAAUAUUGGUAAAUUAUUGUUGUGUAUGUGUGCAUAUGCAUAGAUAUUAGAAGCUCAGUUACUCAGAGGGUAGCGAUGUAUACUCAAAGUAUACCUCCACCUAACCCUGAAAGUACUUCAGAUCAUACGCUAAUAACUCACCCAAAGGUUAAAUCAGUAAAUUUUGUAUAUGCAUAAAUUGUUUAAGACUAGAUCAACAUUAAUUAGUUCAAAUUAUGUCCCUAAUGAAGCAGCCAAACAACCUCAAAAUCCCCCUUCAGGCCACAAAAGAUUGUACUCAACACUUCAACCAAAGAAACUUCAUCGAGAAAGGUCUACAAGGGAGUCAUCUUCUAGGCGGAUCAUGUAAACUAGCUGGCCACCAGGUUUCAAGACGCUAUCAACUUCUGAUCUUCGUGAUCCCGAGAUUUCAAGUCUUAUUGCCGUCAAAAUGAAGGAAUAACUACUUCAGACAUUGUUAUGAACUACUUCAUCAGUUCAAUGAAUCCAUCUUGCAGUAGCUAUAUGAAAGCCUACCGAGCGGAUAGUCGCGACACCUUCAUCAAUUAUCAGCACCAAAAGUGUAUGGGUGUUGCGAAGCAAAGAAGCGACAAAUUUUUUGUACAUAAAAAUCCCAUUUUUUCGGUUUAAAUUUGAUACGAGCACCCAUUUUACAAUUUAAUUAGUAUUUAGAAUUGAAAUAUAUGCACUUUAUUUUUGAUUAUUUAAGAGGAGAAAUGGAAAUGGAAAA